GCCUGGAUGGCUCAGUUGGUUGAGCAUCUGACUCUUAAUUUGAGCUGGUCUUGAUCUCAGAGUUGUGAGUUCAAGCCCCACACUGGGCU
rnacentral:tRNA from 1 species